GAUGAACGCUGGCGGCGUGCCUAAUACAUGCAAGUCGAGCGAACGGACGAGAAGCUUGCUUCUCUGAUGUUAGCGGCGGACGGGUGAGUAACACGUGGAUAACCUACCUAUAAGACUGGGAUAACUUCGGGAAACCGGAGCUAAUACCGGAUAAUAUUUUGAACCGCAUGGUUCAAAAGUGAAAGACGGUCUUGCUGUCACUUAUAGGUGGAUCCGCGCUGCAUUAGCUAGUUGGUAAGGUAACGGCUUACCAAGGCAACGAUGCAUAGCCGACCUGAGAGGGUGAUCGGCCACACUGGAACUGAGACACGGUCCAGACUCCUACGGGAGGCAGCAGUAGGGAAUCUUCCGCAAUGGGCAAAAGCCUGACGGAGCAACGCCGCGUGAGUGAUGAAGGUCUUCGGAUCGUAAAACUCUGUUAUUAGGGAAGAACAUAUGUGUAAGUAACUGUGCACAUCUUGACGGUACCUAAUCAGAAAGCCACGGCUAACUACGUG
rnacentral:rRNA from 1 species